GUUGUGGUGGCUCAGUGGUUAAGGCUUUGAGUAACACAUCAGAAGGUCAUGUGUUCAAAUCCCAGCACUGCCA